rnacentral:rRNA from 1 species
UAGGGAAUCUUCGGCAAUGGACGAAAGUCUGACCGAGCAACGCCGCGUGAGUGAAGAAGGUUUUCGGAUCGUAAAACUCUGUUGUUAGAGAAGAACAAGGACGUUAGUAACUGAACGUCCCCUGACGGUAUCUAACCAGAAAGCCACGGCUAACUACGUGCCAGCAGCCGCGGUAAUACGUAGGUGGCAAGCGUUGUCCGGAUUUAUUGGGCGUAAAGCGAGCGCAGGCGGUUUCUUAAGUCUGAUGUGAAAGCCCCCGGCUCAACCGGGGAGGGUCAUUGGAAACUGGGAGACUUGAGUGCAGAAGAGGAGAGUGGAAUUCCAUUUGUAGCGGUGAAAUGCGUAGAUAUAUGGAGGAACACCAGUGGCGAAGGCGGCUCUCUGGUCUGUAACUGCCGCUGAGGCUAGAAAGCAUGGGGAGCAAACAGG